AUCUCUAUACAUUUUUGUACUUCCUGGAUGCAUAGAGUAAGCAGAACAAUGGGCUUCCUCCAUGAUCUCUCUCUUCAAGCUUUCCACUCUAGGUACACAUAGUCUAUCACCACACAUUAAAGUCUCAUCCUCCCUUAGGGAAAAGUCGGUACGGGUGCCAUCUCUUACUUCAUUCCUGAUCUUACUCAACUGCUCAUCUUGAUUUUGGGCUUCUCUGACUCUUUCUAUCAAAACUGGUCGAACUUUGAGAGUUGCUAACAAUGCUCCUGCAUCAUCCACUGCUAGUUCUACCCUUAAGGAUCUAAUCUCUAGUAACAAAGGAAGCCGAACUGUUUUGAGAUAAGCCAAAUUACUAAAGGACUUGCGACUAAG
rnacentral:lncRNA from 1 species